rnacentral:rRNA from 1 species
UACCACGGGCGCACGGCGGAUGCCUUGGCACAGGGAGCCGAUGAAGGACGCGGCAAGCUGCGAUAAUCCCCGGCGAGGAGCACACAUCCUUCGACCCGGGGGUCUCCGAAUGGGCGAACCCAUGCACAGCAGUGUGCAUAUCCCCCCGCUGAACACAUAGGCSGGGGGAGGACAACCCGGGGAACUGAAACAUCUAAGUACCCGGAGGAGAGGAAAUCAAUCUCGAGACUCCCCGAGUAGCGGCGAGCGAAAGGGGACCGAUGGCCAAACCGUCGAGCGGGCAUACCCGGCAGGGGUUCCGCCGACGGGGUUGCAGGGCCGCGCAUCCGGGGGCUGCCGCCCCCGGGCGCAGGUCCGGCUGGGGAGCGGAACGGCAUGGGAGGGCCGGCCGCAGCGGGUGACAGCCCCGUACGCGAACCCAGACCGGACGGCGCGACGCGGUCCCUGAGUAGGGCCGGGCACGUGAAACCCGGUCCGAACCUGGGUGGACCACCAUCCAAGCCUGAGUACUACCCUGUGACCGAUAGCGCACCAGUACCGUGAGGGAAAGGUGAAAAGCACCCCGGGAGGGGAGUGAAACAGUACCUGAAACCGUGCGCCCACGAGCAGUCGGAGCACCUUUWAGGUGUGACGGCGUGCCUUUUGUAGAAUGAGCCAGCGAGUCGCUGGCGCGGGGCGAGGUUAACCGAAAGGGAGCCGGAGCGAAAGCGAGCCUUAACAGGGCGACUUGAGUCCCGCGCCGCGGACGCGAAGCCGGGUGAGCUAUCCGUGGGCAGGCUGAAGCGGGGGUAAGACCCCGUGGAGGGCCGAACGCACGUCGGUUGAAAACGGCGGCGAUGACCUGCGGAUAGGGGUGAAAGGCCAAUCAAACCCGGAGAUAUCUCGUUCUCCCCGAAAUAGCUUUAGGGCUAGCGUCGCGCGUUCACCGCCGGAGGUAGAGCACCGGAUGGACGAGGGGGCUUCGCCGCCUACCGAAUCCAACCGAACUCCGAAUGCCGGCGGCCCAGAGCGCGGCAGUCAGAGCAUGUGGGCUAAGCUGUGUGCUCGAGAGGGAAACAGCCCGGACCGCCCGCUAAGGUCCCCAAGUUCCAGCCGAGUGGCAAAGGAUGUGCGUCCGCCCAGACAACCAGGAUGUUGGCUUAGAAGCAGCCAUMCAUUCAAAGAGUGCGUAACAGCUCACUGGUCGAGUGGACAUGCGCCGACAAUACACGGGGCUAAGCUGGACACCGAAGCGGCGGGAUUUUAAUUYAUUAGAAUCGGUAGGGGAGCUUCCCAUGGGCGGAGAAGCCGGAGGGCGACCGACGGUGGAGCGCAUGGGAGUGAGAAUGCUGGCAUGAGUAGCGAGAGACGAGAGAGUAACUCGUCCGCCGUGAACCCGAGGUUUCCUGGGCAAGGCUAAUCCUCCCAGGGUCAGUCGGGGGCUAAGGCGAGGCCGGGAGGCGUAGCCGACGCGCAGCAGGCAGACAUUCCUGCACCGCGCACGCGGCGCUACGACCGACGGGGCGACGGAUGGGGGUGGCUCGGCGGGGUUCUGGACGUCCCCGUGAUGGAGCGCGGCCCGCGGACCAGGGAAAUCCGGUCCGCAUYGAGGGCGAGGCUCCGGACGAAGCGACUGAGCGAAGCGAGUGAGCCCGAGGUCCCUAGAAAAACCCCUAGGCAGGCGCGUGCGCGCCCGUACCGCAAACCGACACAGGUGGGUGGGUAGAACAUACCGAGGCGAUCGGGUCAACCAUGGUCAAGGAACUCGGCACAAUGGCCCCGUAACUUCGGGAGAAGGGGUGCCCGCGCGUACGUGAACCGGCUCGCCCGGGGAGCGGAGGCGGGCCGCAGUGGAGAGGCCCAAGCGACUGUUUACCAAAAACACAGGACUCUGCAGAAGCCGCAAGGCGACGUAUAGGGUCUGACGCCUGCCCGGUGCCGGAAGGUCACGCGGAGGAGUUAGCGCAUCGCGCGAAGCCCCGAAGCCAAGCCCCGGUAAACGGCGGCCGUAACUAUAACGGUCCUAAGGUAGCGAAAUUCCUUGUCGGGUAAGUUCCGACCUGCACGAAAGGCGCAACGACUUGGGCGCUGUCUCGACCAUGGACCCGGUGAAAUUGCACUGGUCGUGAAGAUGCGACUUACCCGCGGAAGGACGGAAAGACCCCGUGAACCUUCACUGCAG